rnacentral:rRNA from 1 species
GUUGCGCAGACCGAUCCUGUUGGGGUUGUUGGGAUCGCGCCCUAGAACCACUCCAAAUGAGUGGCGAGAGAACACGUCACCUUCCAUGAUCUUGGUUGCGUCACUCAACCUCUUGUCUGUCGUCGUCGCUGCUUCACCCAUCACUUACUCCUUCUUGGUUAAAACUGGUUUCCAAUGAGCGCUUGAUCAGACGGAGGGUUCCUUCUUCCCACUCGGCGUCAGCUACUCCCAAUGGCUUGUGGU